UGGGGAAUAUUGCACAAUGGGCGCAAGCCUGAUGCAGCCAUGCCGCGUGUGUGAAGAAGGCCUUCGGGUUGUAAAGCACUUUCAGCGGGGAGGAAGGCGAUAAGGUUAAUAACCUUGUCGAUUGACGUUACCCGCAGAAGAAGCACCGGCUAACUCCGUGCCAGCAGCCGCGGUAAUACGGAGGGUGCAAGCGUUAAUCGGAAUUACUGGGCGUAAAGCGCACGCAGGCGGUCUGUCAAGUCGGAUGUGAAAUCCCCGGGCUCAACCUGGGAACUGCAUUCGAAACUGGCAGGCUAGAGUCUUGUAGAGGGGGGUAGAAUUCCAGGUGUAGCGGUGAAGUGCGUAGAGAUCUGGAGGAAUACCGGUGGCGAAGGCGGCCCCCUGGACAAAGACUGACGAUCAGGUGCGAAAGCGUGGGGAGCAAACAGG
rnacentral:rRNA from 1 species